GCCGGGGCUCGGACAGGUCCACGGUGGGAUUUGUGCCAACUGUCUGCCGGGCGGGCUCGCCUCGCCCGCUCCAUGCCGCUGGGGCCGGGGGCGCUGCGGCGCGGGGCAGGGGGCGUUCGCCAUGGCCGAGGCGGGGGCCGAGGAGGAGCAGCAGAAAGCGGCGCCGGCAGAUAAUCUUGUGAUGGAAGGGAGCCAAUGUGUUGCCUCUGCAGUCUCCACCCUUAUGAAUCCAAUAACCAACCCUGCCACUGCCUGUUCGUUCAACACAUUUGCUGUUGAGUCUCCAAAAAAGCGCAAAGGAAGUGAUUUUGAUAACCAGAGUGAAGAUGGAGAACAUGUAAAAAUUAAAUAUUUCAGGGAAGCUCAUAGUCAAACAGAAAAACGAAGAAGAGAUAAAAUGAAUAACUUGAUAGAAGAAUUAUCUGCUAUGAUACCUCAGUGCAAUCCUAUGGCACGUAAAUUAGACAAACUUACAGUAUUACGAAUGGCUGUGCAGCAUUUCAAGUCAUUAAAAGGUUCUACCAGUUCUUAUGCAGAAGUUCAAUAUAAGCCUUCAUUUUUACAGGAUGGUGAGCUGAGACAAUUAAUCCUUAGGGCUGCAGAUGGGUUCCUGUUUGUGGUUGGAUGUGAUAGAGGAAAAAUUCUUUUUGUCUCUGAAUCAGUCUGCAAGAUACUUAAUUAUGAUCAGGCCAGCUUGAUUGGACAAAGUUUAUUUGACUACUUGCAUCCAAAAGAUGUUGCCAAAGUGAAGGAGCAACUAUCCUCUUCAGACGCUUCACCAAGAGAAAAGCUUAUAGAUGCCAAAACUGGCUUGCAAGUACGUAUGGAUUUUCAAGCUGGAUCAGCUCGAUUGCAUUCUGGUGCUCGGCGUUCCUUCUUCUGUCGGAUAAAGUGUAGUAGGAUCACAGUCAAGGAAGAAAAGAAAUGCUUGCCCAACUCAAAGAAGAAAGAGCACAAAAAGUACCGUACAAUCCAUUGUACUGGCUAUCUGAAGAGCUGGCCUCCUACCGAGGUGGGAGUGGAAGAGGAGAAUAAUGCAGAAGACAGCAGUAACUUUAACUGUCUUGUUGCAGUUGGGAGAUUGCAUCCUUAUAUUGUUCCACAAAAGAGUGGUGAGAUAAAGGUCAAACCAACAGAAUUUGUUACACGCUUUGCUAUGGAUGGAAAAUUUGUUUAUGUAGACCUACGUGCAACAGCAAUUUUAGGGUAUCUGCCGCAAGAGCUUCUAGGAACUUCUUGUUAUGAGUACUUCCAUCAAGAUGAUCACAAUCAUCUAGCUGAUAAACAUAAAGCAGUGUUGCAGAGUAAAGAAAAAAUAUUUACAAAUUCCUACAAAUUCAGAGCAAAAGAUGGAACUUUCAUUACAUUGAAGAGUCAAUGGUUUAGUUUCAUCAAUCCAUGGACCAAAGAACUGGAGUACAUUGUAUCAACCAACACUGUAGUGUUCUUUCAAGAAAGGCUAGAGACUUGCAACUCAAACUCCUUCAAAUGGAGAAGUCUCUCAGACCUUCUGAGCCUGAAGCCUGGACUUCCCCUGGAUAAGCCUCACCAACCAUGGCUUCUGAUAAGGGUCCCUCCUCCAUACAGACUUCUGAUGAACCCACUAAAAAAGGGUCUAAAAAGCGGGUAACUACAUCCCCAAAUCGGCCACAAAGUACCAUUCUGUGAUCGGGCAAACUGCAUUGGCACCGACCGCACCUUCAGUGCUCGGAGCCGAGAUAGUGAGACCAUCCAGCACCGCCAGUACCGUGAGAGCUAAGGACUCUAAAAGAGCCAAUGCGGACACAGGUGCUAAGGAGAAAUCAAAACCCCAUGCCUCGGCACUGACUCGGCCAAAGCCACAAUCAACACACAGCAGCGCGGCACCGGUGCAGACCGUGGCUCAGUCCUCGAACCCCAAUAUACACUCUGUGUACACACCGGCACAGCCUACAGUGCCAACAUAUGUGCCGCGUCUCCCGGCACCGCCGCAAGCACAGCCCCCGGUGCAGAUCAUGCAGACACCACAACAGCUCAUACGGCACAAAGAUCUCAUCAUCUGAUCUACGCCAGACUGUCCCAUCCUUGGCACUGACAUGAUCCCAGCACAUUCGGCACCAAGUCUCAUUGCCACUCCAUCAUGCUCUGCUCCUCCUUUUUCGAGUGAGGAUGAGGACAGUGAGGAGGGACGAAUAGAUUCUCUCCCGCAAUCUCCUGCCCACCAUGAGCCACCCAAAUCUGGAUCCUUUCAGGGGGCAUACUACGCUGAUCCCAAACAUCUACAGUGGUAUGGCCAACUCUGGGGUCCACCUAUGCCUCUCAAAUCCCAAUCGGUAUACUGGAACCCAUGGGCAAUUUACCUCACACAACAGGGAUUACCCACCACUUCUAGACUCAGCACAUAGCAAUCGCCUGCACCUUCGGUGCCUGGACUUUCGGAACUGGCUGGAGAAGGAGAGGAAGAGGAGGAAGAACCCCCAUACCAGGAAGGGGCACCACCUACCCACCUGUCAUCAUCCUCCCCAGGCGACACCGUCCUGCCUUCUCCCCUAAUAUAGGGGAUGAUUUUGAACAAUUCCAGGACCUAUUUAAAAGAGUGGCUACCUCUCUGGACAUCUCUCUGGAAGAGGUCAGGUGACACAACACAAACUGGUGGACAUCUUGAACACCUCCUCUUCGUCCAAAAUAGCUUUGCCAAUGAACAGCACGAUAAUGGAACCUGUCAAGACCAUUUGGCAGACCCCUGCAACUGCUCCUCCAACCUGCAAGAGGUCUGACAAAAAAUAAUAUGUGCCAGCAAAGGGCACAGAGUUCCUCUUCUCCCAACCGAUACCCAAUUCACUGGUGAUCAACGCAGUCCAUGAACGUGGCAGACAACAGCCCAAGACCACACCUCAUGAUAAGGUCUAGAAAAGCCUCGACCAUUUCGGCCGCAAGACUUACUCUUCGGCUACACUAUACCUCCGCAUAGUUAAUUACAAGGCCUCUCUGGCAAAAUAUGAUUACAAUAACUACACAAAGUUUUCUGAAUUUAUUGAUUUUAUUCCGGAAGAUAAGAGAGAACAAUUCACACCACUUGUAUCAGAGGGAAAACUCAUCUCCAGAACAGCCCUCCAAGCCGCACUGGACUCUGCAGACACAGCUGCGAGAUCAGUGGCAACUGCAGAGGUGAUGCAGAGGGCCUCAUGGCUCCAUCUCUCCAGCUUUCUUAGGGAAGUACAAUCCACGAUCGAAGACUUACCAUUCGAAAGGCUCAAACUCUUCGCCGAAAAGACUGACGAGACUCUUCACAUGCUCAAAGAUUCAUGAGCGACACUGCGAUCUCUGGGGAUCUAUACGCCUAGACCCAAGAAAAGACCGGAGUUGUUAUGCUCCUCAACGUUUCCGCCAUACUCCAUAUUCACAACAUCGGCAGUAUGAGUCACAGGGCUGCAAACAGAGGCCAUCGAGGGGACCCAGCCUGCUCCUCCUGUAGCUGUGUCGCAGCCAGCAACAUCCAGCCAACAAAAUGUGAAGCCUUGGCUGAGGGCCCGAGAACCCCAUGUCUGUCUGUCUGCUGGAGACAUCUACUCUCUCCCGACCAUUUGGAGACUGCCUGCUUCUGUUUUAUCCAAUCUGGAAAACCAUCACAUCCAAUCAAUGGGUGCUAAAAAUCGUAUGAACUGAUUACUCCAUCCCCUUUCUUUUCAAACCUCCUACCCACUCUCCUUCUCCAUCCGUCUUCAGGGACCCAUCUCACGAGCCUCUGCUUUAUGACCCACCUCAUACAUAUAGGAGCAGUAGAACCGGUUCCAACAAAACUCAGAGGGAGGGGCUUUUAUUCCCACUAUUUUCUCAUGAAGAAGAAGUCGGGUGGAUGGAGACCAAUACUUGACCUAGGCCAACUCAACAAGUUCAUCAGGACACAACGAUUCAAGAUGGUCCCACUAGAGAGAGGGGAUUGGUUCUUGGCUCUUGACCUCCAGGAUGCAUAUUUUCAUAUAACUAUCCAUCCUUCCCAUUGGAGGUUUCUCCAAUUUACUAUUGGCCAGGAACUUUUCCAAUACAAGGUUCUUCCUUUCGGUCUAUACACUGUCCCUUGUUUUUUUUUAAAGUACUAGCAGUGGUGGCGGCCUACCUCCGCAGAAACGGGAUCAUGAUAUUCCCCUACUUGGACAACUGCCUGCUGAAAGCACCAACAUGGAAAGUGGCGUUAGAAGCCACCGAACAGAUGGAGACCCUUUCCAUGAGAUUUGUGCAUUUAUUUGGUGGCCUAAAGUCCACUCUAAUGCCAGUGCAAAAGUUGGAGUUCAUUGGGGCCCAUAUCAGCUCUCCCGAGGCCAUAGCCUCCCUACCACGACAACAUUUCCUUGCUCUAACCAAUCUCAUAGCCACAACAUGAAUCAGUCCCCAGGUAUCUAUUGGGACUUGCCUACAACUUCUCGGUCACAUGGCUCCCACAACUUUCGUCAUCAGUCACGUGAGAUUACACAUGCAUUGCCUCCAAGGGUGGCUCCGUAUACAUUAUGUCCUGCACAGACACAGCUUAAACAGAUGUUGGACAAAAUAAGACUUUCUACUCUGGUGGACAAACCCAGACAACGUCUGCACGGGGGUGCCCUUCCUUCAGAAGAUGCCAACAUUAACCAUCACCACAGACGCUUCGCUCCUCAGAUGGGGGACACGCCUGCAUCUGCAUUCUGUGCAGGGUCGCUGGUCCCCUGCAGAAUCCCUUCUCCAUAUAAAUCUGUUAGAACUACGAGCCGUCUGCAACACCUGCUCUCACUUCUUACCAAUCAUCAAAGGCAAGGCCAUUCAGAUCCUUAUGGACAACAUAGCUUGUUCUGUUUUACAUAAACAGACAAGGGGGAGCACAAUCACACUCCCUAUGCAUGGAAUCCAUGAGACUCUGGCAAUGGUGCAUCAGGUACCGUAUCCACAUCUCAGCCUCAGACCUACCUGAAUGCCAGAACACCACAGCAGAUAUUGUAAGCAGGCACUUUUCUCAGGACCACAAGUGGGAGCUAGACAACCACAUACUCCAAAGCAUAUUUCAACAGUGCGGGGGUCCCACAGAUAGAUCUCUUUGCAACCACAUAAAAUACCAGAUACCCCCUUUUUGCUCCAGGCCAGGUCUUGGCAUACAUUCCUAAGGCGACGCCUUGCUCAUCAAGUGGAACGCUCCCCUCCUAUAUGCCUUCCCUCCCAUCCCCCUCCUGAACUGUGUGAUCCACAAGAUCAGGUAGGAGAGAGCGAAAGUAAUUCUAAUAGCCCCUGCAUGGUCCCAACAAACCUUGUAUCCUUACCUUCUCAGGAUGGUGAUGGGUCCAUUAAUCACGCUCCCGCUUCUGCCUCAUCUGCUGUCCUAGAGCUUGGGUUGCACCCUGCAUCUGGAUCCGCAACAACUCCAUCUCGGAGCGUGGCUCCUCCAUGACUCAAAGGAUCUGAGAUGACCUGCUCGAAAGAUGUACAAAACAUAUUAUUGAAUAGUCGCAGAGCAACUUCCUGCCACACAUACAUACUCAAGUGGCGGAGAUUUGAUGCUUGGUGCCAGCAAAACAAGAUGGCAUCCUUUUCAGCCUCCUUACCCUCAAUAUUCGAUUACCUCUUAGAACUUAAAAGGGGUCACAAUGAGUCAGGAGAAGAAGCAUUACUACCCUGUAGUUCCCAGUCCUCAGAAGGCAAG